AAAAUCAAAAUUGAACUCAUUCUUCUCUUCUCUUCUCGAAAUCACGAAAGCUAAACCCCCAAAAUCCUGUUCAUCUGAGAAGCUCAGAAUCCCUAAAUUUCUCAUCACUCUCAGUUGAUAAAUCCCAAACGACUCACAAAAUUCUCUAUCCGUUGGUUUUCAUCCCCAAAGUCCCUAAAUUCUUUAUCUGUUCAAUCCUCCCACUUUUGUGUGGACAUUCAAGACUUACGAAGGCAGUGACGUUUGCGGCGAUUGACUGACAAAGGUUUUUCUGCGAUUCACCAAGCGAUUGUGAACCUUUCAUCAAAUCCUCCAUUUUUGUGUGAAUUCAAGCAUACAUGGGAUAACUCAUGAUCUCUCUCCAUUGAUGGAAGUGGUAGGAAGCUAAGAUGUUGGAGAUUAUUAGGAUCCGAGAUUAGAAGAAUCAUAAGAGACAAAGAGCUUUUGAAGAAAAGAUAGUAAAAUUCAAAGUUGCUUCAAAAAGGUUCUUUGGCUUUCAAGUAAAGGGGCAGAAGUAGAAAGAUUGGUGAUUUAGUGGUUUGGGGCUUUUGGCAUCAAGUAGAAAUCAAUCCUUGAGGUGAGUUUCCUACAUGACUCUGAUUGUUGAUAGAACAUUUAGCUAAAAAUUGAUAGAUGAAUAUGAGUUUAUGCAUAUAGAGAAAAUUAGCUAAAACUGUUUUAUAUAUUUUAUUCCCUUUAAAUGCAUUUAAAUUGAAAUUUGUUAUUGAUAUUUAGAUUGAUAAUUUGCAGAAUGAAUGAAUUUGAUACAUCACAUAAUAGGGCUGCAACCACAGGGGAUAACCUUAGAAGGAAUAGAGAAUAAGUUAAAGUUAUAGAGCUUGAUUCAUUGUUAUGGUGCAGCCCUUCGACGACUACUAGUUAAUUAGUAAUAUACACGAAUUCAUGAAAUUUGCAUUCAGUAAGUAAUAGUGAAUCUAGAGCAUUAAAUUUAUUCCUACCUAUGUGGUCGAUAAGAUUAUUAACUAGAAUGAACCAAGGGACUAAGCACGUACGCCUUGAUUAUUCAGAUAAGAAGCAUUGUUAUGAUCCAAGUUAAUGAUCAUGAACAUCAUUUAAAAUGGACGGCUUAUGACAGGUAAAUUAAAUGUUUAACAAUAGUUGAACGCUCAGAAUUCUACAGGUUAAAACUGUCGGUUAUUAUUAAAUAAAACAAUGACAUAAUUUUGUUAAUUAGGAGGGUGGUAAGGAUCCAGAAAGAGGUGCAGGUCUGUCUAGUGUGGAUUCAGAGUAGUAUCUUGUGUAGGUCGGUCUCAAAAUGGCUCGGGAUGGUAUUGUUUUGUCGGUAGUUUUGUUGUGGUAUGUUUGUUGAUGUGUUUCUUAAUUUCUGCUUAAGAGUUAACUUGGCUUUUAGUUUUAUAGUGGCAUAUAUCUUUUUUUAUCUUGUCUUAGUUAGCACAUAUUGUUGAAGAAUUUCAAGAUUUGGAAGCACAAAAUGAAGAGAUGUAAAUGGUGUUUAUGCUUUUAUUUUUCAUAGAUCAAUGAUAAUUGACAUUUUGAACUGGGUUAUACAUCAAAGACCAAAAAUAUUAUUUUGUAAUUUUGAUGAUAUUUUGAUUGUAAUGAAUAAUAUGAUUGAUUGACUAGUA